CCUACGUGUGGCAGCAGUGGGGAAUAUUGGACAAUGGGCGAAAGCCUGAUCCAGCAAUGCCGCGUGAGUGAUGAAGGCCCUAGGGUUGUAAAGCUCCUUUACCCGGGAAGAUAAUGACUGUACCGGGAGAAUAAGCCCCGGCUAACUCCGUGCCAGCAGCCGCGGUAAUACGGAGGGGGCUAGCGUUGUUCGGAAUUACUGGGCGUAAAGCGCACGUAGGCGGCUUUGUAAGUCAGAGGUGAAAGCCUGGAGCUCAACUCCAGAACUGCCGUUGAGACUGCAUCGCUUGAAUCCAGGAGAGGUCAGUGGAAUUCCGAGUGUAGAGGUGAAAUUCGUAGAUAUUCGGAAGAACACCAGUGGCGAAGGCGGCUGACUGGACUGGUAUUGACGCUGAGGUGCGAAAGCGUGGGGAGCAAACAGGAUUAGAUACCCUUGUAGUC
rnacentral:rRNA from 1 species